rnacentral:lncRNA from 1 species
AGCAUAUCCAAAAGGGAACACAUGAAUGCAUGAACCUCCACUGACACACUUUCUAAAGUGGAUGCUCUCUGUAUUUGGUUAUUCUAUUAAAUGGAGUAUUUCAAAUUUGCAUGUACGACAUUGUUCUUUCUAACUACCUCUAAGUUUUGCUUCUUCUUACUUUUCAUCAGGAAAGAAAUAAACAACAGAGACCCUCCUCAGAGGUGCACCGAAAAUGGCAAGAGACCAUGGGCCCAAAUUGCUGCAAGGCAACUUCUGUUUGGACAUAAGAUGCCAGGAUAAAGCACAGCCUAUGAUCUGCUUGAAAACAGAGUAUGGGGAAUAAGGGAUACAUCUAUGAUGUAUAAAGCAAACUGUGACCCAGAGCCUGCUGAGGAGAAAACAGAAUAAUGAUGUUGUGUGUUGC